GCAAAGUCACUUUCCCUUCGGGGCAUUGGAGACAGGUGGUGCAUGGUUGUCGUCAGCUCGUGUCGUGAGAUGUUGGGUUAAGUCCCGCAACGAGCGCAACCCCUAUUUCCAGUAGCCAGCAAGAAAGAUGGGAACUCUGGAGAGACUGCCCGGGAUAACUGGGAGGAAGGCGGGGAUGACGUCAAAUCAUCAUGCCCCUUAUGAUCAGGGCUACACACGUGCUACAAUGGCGUAAACAAAGGGAAGCGAAGUGGUGACACGAAGCAAAUCCGAAAAACAACGUCUCAGUUCGGAUUGUAGUCUGCAACUCGACUACAUGAAGCUGGAAUCGCUAGUAAUCGCGAAUCAGAAUGUCGCGGUGAAUACGUUCCCGGGUCUUGUACACACCGCCCGUCACACCAUGGGAGUCGGAAAUGCCCGAAGUCAGUGACCCAACCGAGAGGAGGGAGCUGCCGAAGGUGGAGCCGGUAACUGGGGUGAAGUCGUAACAAGGUAGCCGUAUCGGAAGGUGCG
rnacentral:rRNA from 1 species